rnacentral:rRNA from 1 species
AUUGAACGCUGGCGGCAGGCUUAACACAUGCAAGUCGAACGGUAACAGGAAGGAAGCUUGCUUUCUUUGCUGACGAGUGGCGGACGGGUGAGUAAUGCUUGGGAAUCUGCCUUAUGGAGGGGGAUAACUACGGGAAACUGUAGCUAAUACCGCGUAAUAUCUACGGAUUAAAGUGUGGGACCUUCGGGCCACAUGCCAUAAGAUGAGCCCAAGUGAGAUUAGGUAGUUGGUGAGGUAAAGGCUCACCAAGCUGACGAUCUCUAGCUGGUUUGAGAGGAUGACCAGCCACACUGGAACUGAGACACGGUCCAGACUCCUACGGGAGGCAGCAGUGGGGAAUAUUGCACAAUGGGCGCAAGCCUGAUGCAGCCAUGCCGCGUGAAUGAAGAAGGCUUUCGGGUUGUAAAGUUCUUUCAGCGAUGAGGAAGGUUGUAUAUCUAAUAGGUAUGCAAAUUGACGUUAGUCGCAGAAGAAGCACCGGCUAACUCCGUGCCAGCAGCCGCGGUAAUACGGAGGGUGCGAGCGUUAAUCGGAAUAACUGGGCGUAAAGGGCACGCAGGCGGUUGUCUAAGUCAGAUGUGAAAGCCCCGAGCUUAACUUGGGAAUUGCAUUUGAGACUGGGCGACUAGAGUCCUCUAGGGAGGGGUAGAAUUCCACGUGUAGCGGUGAAAUGCGUAGAGAUGUGGAGGAAUACCGAAGGCGAAGGCAGCCCCUUGGAGAGAGACUGACGCUGAGUGCGAAAGCGUGGGUAGCAAACAGG